AACGAACGCUGGCGGCAUGCCUAACACAUGCAAGUCGAACGAGACCUUCGGGUCUAGUGGCGCACGGGUGCGUAACGCGUGGGAACCUGCCCUUAGGUUCGGAAUAACUCCCCGAAAGGGGUGCUAAUACCGGAUAAUGUCUUCGGACCAAAGAUUUAUCGCCUUUGGAUGGGCCCGCGUUGGAUUAGCUAGUUGGUAGGGUAAAAGCCUACCAAGGCGACGAUCCAUAGCUGGUCUGAGAGGAUGACCAGCCACACUGGGACUGAGACACGGCUCAGACUCCGACGGGAGGCAGCAGUGGGGAAUAUUGGACGAGGGGCGAAAGCCUGAUCCAGCCAUGCCGCGUGAGUGAUGAAGGGCGUAGGGUUGUAAAGCUCUUUUACCCGGGAUGAUAAUGACAGUACCGGGAGAAUAAGCGCCGGCUAACUCCGUG
rnacentral:rRNA from 1 species